UACGAAGGGGGCUAGCGUUGCUCGGAAUCACUGGGCGUAAAGCGCACGUAGGCGGAUUGCUAAGUCAGGGGUGAAAUCCUGGAGCUCAACUCCAGAACUGCCUUUGAUACUGGCGAUCUCGAGUCCGAGAGAGGUGAGUGGAAUUCCGAGUGUAGAGGUGAAAUGCGUAGAUAUGCGGAGGAACACCGAUGGCGAAGGCAAUCCCCUGGGCCUGCACUGACGCUCAUGCACGAAGCGUGGGGAGCAAACAGG
rnacentral:rRNA from 1 species